rnacentral:tRNA from 1 species
GGAUAGGGAUUGUGGCUCAGAGGAAAAGCAUCUGCCUUGUAUGCAAAAGGUCCCGGGUUCAAUCCCCAGACUCUCCA